AUUAGCUCCUUGUCCCCUGUACUUUUAUUUUGAGGAGGGAUGCCAAUAGCUGCUUUAAGGAAGUUGAUGGCUUCUGUAUAACCCAUUGUAGUGGCUUUCUCUGACACAAAACACUCACAAUUCAGCACCCCUCCUGCCUUGUCAUCACUUGCUCCCAUUUGGCUUUGUGUGCCCGGCUGUACAAAGAGGCAAAGCGAGGUUUGUACUUGAGCUGGAAAAUGGAAUUUCUUUUAUUUUUACAAAGUCUCUUGGCUCUCUCCCAAACAUCUCCUGGCAACAGAGUCAACCAAAUUAAUUUUUUCCAAGAAAAGAUCUACUAUGGAACUUUUGAUAAGAAACUGGUCAGCCGUUCUGAGAGUGGUGGAAAGCCUGUCAAGGUCACUACCAAGGACAAGAGAGUCAAUUAG
rnacentral:lncRNA from 1 species